GACGUAGGGCGCGAGCGUUGUCCGGAUUUAUUGGGCGUAAAGAGCUCGUAGGCGGUUUGUCGCGUCGAAUGUGAAAACCCGGGGCUCAACCCCGGGCCUGCAUUCGAUACGGGCAGACUAGAGUUCGGUAGGGGAGUCUGGAAUUCCUGGUGUAGCGGUGAAAUGCGCAGAUAUCAGGAGGAACACCGGUGGCGAAGGCGGGACUCUGGGCCAAGAUUGACGCUCAUGCACGAAAGCGUGGGGAGCAAACAGG
rnacentral:rRNA from 1 species